rnacentral:misc_RNA from 1 species
GAAAUGCGAUAAGUAAUGUGAAUUGCAGAAUUCAGUGAAUCAUCGAAUCUUUGAACGCACAUUGCGCCCCUUGGUAUUCCGAGGGGCAUGCCUGUUCGAGCGUCAUUGCAACCCCUCAAGCUCAGCUUGGUGUUGGGGCCUGCCGCGCUGGCAGCCCUUAAAAUCAGUGGCGGUGCCACCUGGCUCUAAGCGUAGUAACUCUUCUCGCUACAGGGUCCUGGUGAGCGCUUGCCAUAACCCUCUAUUUUCUAUGGUUGACCUCGGAUCAGGUAGGGAUACCCGCUGAACUUAA